GGGGGGAGGUCGGAUCCUGGGCUUUGUCCUGGAGCCCAGUGCUCUGGGGCCUGCACUGUUGGAUUCGCGCUCCCGGUGGCACAGCCCCCU
rnacentral:pre_miRNA from 1 species